rnacentral:lncRNA from 10 species
GAAGAAAACAGAACUCUGCUGACACUUUGGGACCCAUUUUAGACUUCUGACCUAUACAACGACUAUGGGAGAAAUUGGAACUUAAUCUCCCAGGAGCAAUUUUCUCAGCUAUAGAGUGGCAUCUGCAACAACAGCAUCUAGACAAAUGAAUAUAAUUUGACCUGUUUCAAAUGAAAAGCUUGGGAUCUGAAGGCUAUGCCUCUAAGCAAUCUCUCACCACGGCUGCUGGUCAAUUCCAAAAGGGAGAAUUAAUUGAAAUCCAGGAGGCACCUGGCAAGAGGAAAUAGACUCCAACUACCUCCGUAAUGUACUCUCAAGAUGAUAGAGUUUCCACAAGUUUAUAAUGAAAACGAGCACAUACAAAGUUUUUAGACAGAAGGUCUCCCAAGGUCCCUCCUCUCUCCCCAGCAUCCUAAGGUAGAUGUUUUACUGAACAAAGAGAAUUAACCAUCAACUUCAAUUUCAAAAACUAUCAGAAGUAACUCACAGAGACCACAUAAUGUGGUAGAGGCCAAAGAGACUCUACUCACACCCUUCCUAGGCAAAUGCUGCUGGUUCAGGAGAUAUUCAGAGCCUAUGUUUUCAGUUUCUUCAUUUGUCAAAUCGUAUUGAAAUAAGACAAAGGUUAGGUAUUUGAUCUAAUUCAUGGCAGUGCUGCAAAGAAGUGAGUAGAAUUUUGUCCUACUGGGGGCCUGGCGCUGUGGCU